rnacentral:rRNA from 1 species
UACGUAGGGGCUAGCGUUAUCCGGAUUUACUGGGCGUAAAGGGUGCGUAGGCGGUCUUUCAAGUCAGGAGUGAAAGGCUACGGCUCAACCGUAGUAAGCUCUUGAAACUGUAAGACUUGAGUGCAGGAGAGGAGAGUGGAAUUCCUAGUGUAGCGGUGAAAUGCGUAGAUAUUAGGAGGAACACCAGUUGCGAAGGCGGCUUACUGAGCCGACACUGACGCUGAGGCACGAAAGCGUGGGGAUCAAACAGGAUUAGAUACCCUGGUAGU